GAGGGGUGUACUCACUUUUGUGAGAUACUGUGUAUAUGUAUGUAUAUAUAUAUAUUUUGUGAGAUACUAUGUAUAUGUAUGUAUGUAUACAUACAUAUACACAGUAUCUCACAAAAGUGAGUACACCCC